GCAUCUGACGUGGACCAAAGAUUCAUCGGUGGAGGAUGGGGAUGCGUCUGAUUAGCUUGUUGGUGCGGGUAACGGCCCACCAAGGCGACGAUCAGUAGGGGUUCUGAGAGGAAGGUCCCCCACAUUGGAACUGAGACACGGUCCAAACUCCUACGGGAGGCAGCAGUGAGGAAUAUUGGUCAAUGGACGUAAGUCUGAACCAGCCAAGUAGCGUGCAGGAUUGACGGCCCUAUGGGUUGUAAACUGCUUUUGUUGGGGAGUAAAGUGAGGCACGUGUGCCUUUUUGCAUUUACCCUUCGAAUAAGGACCGGCUAAUUCCGUGCCAGCAGCCGCGGUAAUACGGAAGGUCCAGGCGUUAUCCGGAUUUAUUGGGUUUAAAGGGAGUGUAGGCGGUCUGUUAAGCGUGUUGUGAAAUUUAGGUGCUCAACAUCUACCUUGCAGCGCGAACUGGCGGACUUGAGUGCACGCAACGUAUGCGGAAUUCAUGGUGUAGCGUUGAAAUGCUUAGAUAUCAUGACGAACUCC
rnacentral:rRNA from 1 species